rnacentral:lncRNA from 10 species
CCCUAGAGAUGAACCAUCCAAUCUCCUGCCUCGAGUAUUGAAGCCUGGCUACUGUGACUGUGGGGAAGGGAUUAAUGGUCUCAGCAUUCAGUGCUUUCCAGUGCCCCAAAGACAGAGAUGUUAAAUGCUGCAUUGCCCACAUUCCCUUGGAGCUGGUGUUCUUCAUGUCUGCCAAGGGGAUAUAUUAACACUGGAUAUUGGGAAGGCAGAAGCAAGCACCAUAUAGCAUGGCCCAGCAGCUCUUUCGAAAGGCAAGGUGGUGGAUGCAUUUGGUUCUUCUGAGGCACAUGUGGAGAAGUAGUGUCCACUCCUAGCUUUAUGGGUGUCAAGUAGAGGGCACCUGUAAAAAUAGCAACUAGGGAUUUCGUGGAACACUCCUAUACAGUGAUUGGAACUUCUCAUGGCUGUAUGGCUGCUGGCUAUGUAUCAUCUAAGCUCAUCCCAAACUUCUUAAGACCUCUGGUCUGUAAAGGUAUGUGACCUUUGGCUAGCUACCAUUUCUCUCCGAGUCCACAUUAUGAAACUAUACCUUUCCUGUUCAUAUCUAUAUACAUUCAUGUUUCUAUUAAAUUGAUCAGUUAAAAUAAAUAGGUAUCUUAAUUUAUUUGAGUUGCCCUACUUGGCCAUCGAAACAAAACUAACAGUACCAUCUCACACAUGGACACACACACACACACAUACACAACUACCAGCUAUGUCACGUUCCUUGGUUCUCUCUUGAGGCUAGCAAAAAUCGUGUUUGGAACCUCCAUCUCACAAGCAAUUACAAGUAGGGUUCACCCCAGUUCCUUCAUCAUCUCAUCACUGGGUUUCAGAAGGGGCCAGUGUCACCUAAGGAAUUCAUGUUUAGCAUGCAGGCUGUUAAAAAGGGACCUAUGAAGACAUGGUAAGACUAGUGGAGAACCAAGGGACUUGAUGGAGUCAGGGUGUGUGUGUAUCUUUAUGUAUGUGCACACAUGUGUGUAGGA